rnacentral:lncRNA from 1 species
CAGUAUUAGCAUAAUCAAGGAAUUCCCCCAGUUCAUGACAUUAUUGUACGUCUCCGUAUCAAUAAAGACAAACAACAUUUACUGAAUGAGUUAAACGAUAAAAGCAUUAAGCAAAGGUAAGGAACCCAACAAUUGAUAAUAUAAGCACAUGCAAGCAUAUAAAGAAAAUAAGAAGUUUGAUAUAAGAGAGUUCAGAGGUUACAUUUUUC